CCCGUCCCGACGGUAUUGGAUGGCCCCGUUCAUUGUUUUCGUCUCAUGUUCCUUUUGGGCACGGGAUGGACUAGUUGGCGCUUUGCAUGUUCCUUUGUAAGCCAUUGGCUUAUUUCUUGGCCCAUGCUCGGUUGCCUGACCCUCGGAUGCUGAAAAUUAAGUGGGCAAGGGGGUUGAAAACCCUUUUGAUAAGCCCAGGUCUAGCGCUCGUUGCUCGAAUCAAAAGACGCUGUGGCUCGCCUUGCAAUUCUUGAACCAUGGGUUCUCGUAAUGGCCAUGCGUUGUCCCAGUCGUCUGGAGGAAAGCUACCUGGUUGAUCC
rnacentral:misc_RNA from 1 species